UCUUCCUCUUCACCAGACAUGCUGGAAAACAAAAGACAGAUUAAGCAGGAAAAAUCAACAUCUUACCUUAAACAAUGGAUUAAGUAAAAUCAACAUGUGAGAACCCCAACUCAUGUUUUGAUUUGAAACAUAUGAAUUCCAAAUAGCAAAACAGAUCAGCUGAAGUUUUCUAAAAUGGUGAAAAUAGAUUCUUGCAGGCUAACUAGAUUUUAAGGCACAUA
rnacentral:misc_RNA from 1 species